AGCACUUUUGAAUCCACAUGCUACAAAAUAAAGUCUUCUAAAGCCUGAUUUGGAGGUUUCAGGUUCAGAGGGAGAACUGACAUAGUCUGAUGGCCAGAAGUGAGAAGAAUUCUUAACUGCUGCAGCUUUGUUAGUAAUUUUUGUAUGCUGAUUGUUUCGACGCACCAGUACCAACCAACAUAGGAAGAUCUGAACUGCAGGAAUCGCAAGUUCCACUACUAGGUACAUCAAGCUACACAUGACUUUGAACUAUUCAAGAUUUCAUGGAUGAGCUGAAACUAGCCUGAACUUGCUGCGCCACCCAAGUUCAUCAAAAACUGCAGGAGGAGCUUGGAUGGGGAGGGCAGAAAGGUCCUAAAGGUGAUUCCCACCACCUUUAAACCUGGAUCUGUUGUCCAGAACAGCCUCUUUGUGGUUUGCCAUCAUCUGGAAGAAAUAAUCUGAACCAUCACAGUUCCCAGACAUGAGGCCAUGCAAAAUAGAGUGCAGCCAGGUGGCAGCUUCAACAGUGCAGUGGCCUUCUCAGCAGCCCCAAAGCAUGGACACACACUAUGGUAAGAGAAGACGAGUGUUGGUUGCCGUACAGGAGCAAGUUUCCAGGCAUGUGGCUCAGGCUUCAGUGAAAUGGCUUCUUUCUUGCCUGGAAAUCUCAGGCAGUUAUUACAGAGAGGAGAGGAGAUGUUCCAGUGAGAUUAUGUGCCUAGAACGAUACUCUG
rnacentral:lncRNA from 1 species